CCCAAGAACAGCCCCAAGAACAGCCCCAAGAACAGCCCCAAGGAACAGCCCCAAGGAACAGCCCCAAAGGAACAGCCCCAGGGAACAGCCCCAAGGAACAGCCCAAAGGAACAGCCCCAAGGAACAGCCCAUCUCCGUGCUGAGGCUCCCCGAGCCAGCAUCACCUCCCCGUGGAACCUCCCCCCUGAGCCCGCGGUGAGCAGGGAACAGCCGGCUCUGGGAUCCAGGGAUCCUCCCUCAGGCUGGGGCAGCUCUGCAGGGAGCUGCAGCACGGCCACACAGCUCACACAGACACACAGACACACAGAGACAGGUGUUAAACACACACACACACCUCUGCAGGGAGCUGCAGCACACAGCCACACAGCUCACAGAUCACACACACACACACACAGACAGGUGUUAAACACACCCAUACACACACCCACACACCUCUGCAGGGAGCUGCAGCACGGCCACACAGCUCACAGAUCACACACACACACACCGACAGGUGUUAAACACACACACCCACACACACACACCUCUGCAGGGAGCUGCAGCACAGUCACACAGCUCACAGAUCACACAGACACACAGACAGACACAGACAGGUGUUAAACACACCCACACACACACACACAGUCACACACUCACACGGGUGUCACACACACACACACAGACACACACACACAGACACACUCACUCACUCACUCACUCACACACAGUCACACACUCACACACACACACAGCCACACACCCUUCUAGCACGCCCCACCUCUCCCAAAGCCUCUCUCCUCCCCGGGGUUUAUGCUGGAAUUCCCGAGACUGCCAGG
rnacentral:lncRNA from 1 species